rnacentral:rRNA from 1 species
UACGGGGGGGGCAAGCGUUGUUCGGAAUUACUGGGCGUAAAGGGCUCGUAGGUGGCCAACUAAGUCAGACGUGAAAUCCCUCGGCUUAACCGGGGAACUGCGUCUGAUACUGGAUGGCUUGAGACCGGGAGAGGUGAGUGGAAUUCCCAGUGUAGCGGUGAAAUGCGUAGAUAUUGGGAGGAACACCAGUGGCGAAGGCGGCUCACUGGACCGGAACUGACGCUGAGGCGCGAAAGCGUGGGGAGCAAACAGG